AAUAUUGUCAUCACCUAAGAAAGAAACCCCAUACUCUUUAACUAUUAUCUCCCAUCUCCCAGCCCCCUUCCUCCCCAACCAACCUCAUUUUUAGUUUUUAUUUGUUUUGAUUGGUGAACCUGGGGCAUCCCUCGUAGGCAGGGCCAGAUAAAGCAGGUUGUACCUUGACCCAAGAAAUAAAAACAGCUGGGUUCCAAAAGGCACAUAGAUUCCCAGUUCACAGGAAUGGAAACUUGCCUCCUGCCUGCCCCCUUACCUCCCAGCGCGCCUGCCCCCUUACCUCCCAGCGCGCCUGCCCCCUUACCUCCCAGCGCGCCUGCCCCCUUACCUCGCAGCGCGCCUGCCCCCUUACCUCGCAGCGCUCCUGCCCCCUUACCUCCCAGCGCGCCUGCCCCCUUACCUCGCAGCGCGCCUGCCCCCUUACCUCGCAGCGCGCCUGCCCCCUUACCUCCCAGCGCGCCUGCCCCCUUACCUCGCAGCGCGCCUGCCCCCUUACCUCCCAGCGCGCCUGCCCCCUUACCUCGCAGCGCGCCUGCCCCCUUACCUCGCAGCGUGCCUGCCCCCUUACCUCCCAGCGUGCCUGCCCAAGGCAGCAGCAGCCUCCUCUUGACUUUUUAAGAAAUGAACAUAGGUUUAAGGUAUUUUCAGUACCAGGCUCUGUGCUAGGUACUUUCACAUUAUUUUCUCUCCAAAUCUUCCCAACAAUCCUUUCAAGUAGCCAUUGGUCCCACUUCACCAAUGACCCAACAGAAACUCAGGGAGGUUCCGUAUCUUGCUCAAGGUCACACAGCUGGAUCAGAACCCAGCUGUCUGUUAGGCAGGUUCACUGCACACUAGUUACCAACUUGUCAGAGUCCAGUGAGGCAAACACCCACAAGUUACAUAACGCUGAGUCCAGCGAGGCAAACACAAGUGACAUGCAACGUGUUUAUUACCUAUAGGUAGGCACUAAGGGACAACAGAAGGCUGGGAUUCAUUUGGAGCUGGACCCCUACGGCUCAGGAAAGCUGCUGAGGCAGCUGGGGGAUGGACCGUUGUCUGUGCAUGCCUGACUUUUUUUUUUGUUGUUGGUUUGUUGUGAGAUGGAGUCUCGCUCUUUCACCCGGGCUGGAGUGCAGUGGUGUGAACCCUGGGAUUCAAGCAAUUUUCCUGCCUCAGCCUCCCUGGUAGCUGGGAUUACAGGCGUGCACUACCACGUCCAGCUAUUUUUUUUUUUUUUAGUAGAAACAGUUUCGCCAUGUUGGCCAGGCUGGUCUUGAACUUCUGACCUCAGGUGAUCCACCCGCCUCGGCCUCCCAAAGUGUUGUGAUAACAGGCAUGGGCCACCACGCCCAGCCAGCCAGACUUGUACUGAAGCUGAGGGACCCCAGAAACCAGCCCGCCCUGUUUUUCGUUUGUUUGUUUGUUUGUUUGAUACAGAGUCUCACUCUGUCUCCCAGGCUGGAGUGCAGUGUCGCCAUCUGGGCUCACUGCAACUUCCGCCUCCCAGGUUCAAGCAAUUCUCCUGCCUCAGCCUCCCGGGUAGCUGGGACUACUGGCACGCACCACCACACCUGGCUAGUUUUUUGUAUUUUUAGUAAAAACGGGGUUUCACCGUGUUAGCCAGGAUGGUCUCAAUCUCCUGACCUUAUGAUCCGCCCGCAUCGGCCUCCCAAAGUGCUGGGAUUACAGGAGUAAGCCACCGCGCCCGGCUUCUGCCCUGGGCUUUAUACCCUGGGGCCAUGUGACAUGUUGGGCUGAAGUGUUGAAGGACAUGCUUUUUCUAGGGGGACUGGAACAGAGCAUGGCUGUGCUGGCCAGUCCUUCCUUCCCUCAGGAUGUUGCAUUCUCUGCACACUCUACAGUUUUAUUUAUUUAUUUAUUGAGACAGUCUUGCUCCAUCACCCAGGCUGGAGUGCAGUGGCACUGUCUCAGCUCACUGCAACCUCCGCCUCCCAGGUUCGAGGGAUUCUCCCUGCUCAGCCUCCCGUGUAGCUGGGAUUACAGGUGCCCACCACCACGCUUGGAUAAUUUUUGUAUUUUUGGUAAAGACGGGGUUUCAGCAUGUUGGCUAGGCUGGUCUUGAACUUCUGAUCUCAAGUGAUCUGCCCGCCUCGGCCUCCCAAAGUGCUGGGAUUACAGGCGUCUACAGUUAUUCUUGAGAACUACAAGCAAGAAAGGAGGGGAGAACCAGGUCAGUUCAAGGCCACUGGGAGAACUGUCCUGCACCGCCUGCCUCUGAAGCCCAUGAUGUUUCUGCUUUGUGGGACAGUUGUUCAGGUGCCUGCUUCCCCAGGCCUUCCCCUGCGCCUUCCCCCUCUCUCCUACACACACCAUCUGACUGUCCUUCCAGCACGUACACCUCCAGAUGCUUGGGUUGGCCUGACCCAAAACAGUCUACUCUCCCGGCCAAGCCAAUUGCCCCUGGGAUUUUCUGCUCCUCCAAGAUCCCGUGCAUAGCCCUGGUGGUGGCUCAUGCCCUUAAUCCUUAGUUACUCUAGAUGCUGAGGCAGGAGGAUCGCUUGAGGCCGAGGAGUUCAAGACCUCCCCUCUCCCAAAUAUUUGUAAAUGAAAUUAAAAGAAAGAUCCAGCCC
rnacentral:lncRNA from 1 species